GAUGAACGCUGGCGGCGUGCUUAACACAUGCAAGUCGAACGAUGAUGCCCAGCUUGCUGGGUGGAUUAGUGGCGAACGGGUGAGUAACACGUGAGUAACCUGCCCUUGACUCUGGGAUAAGCCUGGGAAACUGGGUCUAAUACCGGAUACGACCAUCUGGCGCAUGUCAUGGUGGUGGAAAGCUUUUGUGGUUUUGGAUGGACUCGCGGCCUAUCAGCUUGUUGGUGGGGUAAUGGCCUACCAAGGCGACGACGGGUAGCCGGCCUGAGAGGGUGACCGGCCACACUGGGACUGAGACACGGCCCAGACUCCUACGGGAGGCAGCAGUGGGGAAUAUUGCACAAUGGGCGCAAGCCUGAUGCAGCGACGCCGCGUGAGGGAUGACGGCCUUCGGGUUGUAAACCUCUUUCAGUAGGGAAGAAGCGAAAGUGACGGUACCUGCAGAAGAAGCGCCGGCUAACUACGCG
rnacentral:rRNA from 1 species